GAGCGGAUGAAGGGAGCUUGCUCCCUGAUUUAGCGGCGGACGGGUGAGUAAUGCCUAGGAAUCUGCCUGGUAGUGGGGGAUAACGUUCCGAAAGGAACGCUAAUACCGCAUACGUCCUACGGGAGAAAGCAGGGGACCUUCGGGCCUUGCGCUAUCAGAUGAGCCUAGGUCGGAUUAGCUAGUUGGUGAGGUAAUGGCUCACCAAGGCGACGAUCCGUAACUGGUCUGAGAGGAUGAUCAGUCACACUGGAACUGAGACACGGUCCAGACUCCUACGGGAGGCAGCAGUGGGGAAUAUUGGACAAUGGGCGAAAGCCUGAUCCAGCCAUGCCGCGUGUGUGAAGAAGGUCUUCGGAUUGUAAAGCACUUUAAGUUGGGAGGAAGGGCAUUAACCUAAUACGUUAGUGUUUUGACGUUACCGACAGAAUAAGCACCGGCUAACUUCGUGCCAGCAGCCGCGGUAAUACGAAGGGUGCAAGCGUUAAUCGGAAUUACUGGGCGUAAAGCGCGCGUAGGUGGUUCGUUAAGUUGGAUGUGAAAGCCCCGGGCUCAACCUGGGAACUGCAUCCAAAACUGGCGAGCUAGAGUACGGUAGAGGGUGGUGGAAUUUCCUGUGUAGCGGUGAAAUGCGUAGAUAUAGGAAGGAACACCAGUGGCGAAGGCGACCACCUGGACUGAUACUGACACUGAGGUGCGAAAGCGUGGGGAGCAAACAGGAUUAGAUACCCUGGUAGUCCACGCCGUAAACGAUGUCAACUAGCCGUUGGGUUCCUU
rnacentral:rRNA from 1 species